rnacentral:lncRNA from 1 species
AGGUAACACAAAAUCUCCUUUCAUUCCAUUUGCGAAAUAUACACCACGAAGCCCAGAAGGCCAAAGGAAGAAAAGCAAAACGACAAAAGCAAGACAAAACAACAAAAGAGAAAAUGUAUGCAUGGAAAGAUGGAAGGCCAAAAAGAGCCCUAGGGAAGCUCUGCUCCUUCCGACCUCGAAUUAUCUGCUUCACCCCUUAUCCAGGACUG